GAUGAUGAUUUAAAGUUUAAUCUGCCCAAUGAUAAAAUUUAAUGGCCGCGGUAUUUUGACCGUGCAAAGGUAGCGUGAUAAUUAGUUUUUUAAUUGGAAACUGGUAUGAAUGAUUGGACGAGAGAUAUUCUGUUUCAAUAUAAUUAAUAUAUAAUUUUACUUUUAAGUAAGAAGGCUUAACUAUUUUUAGAGGACGAGAAGACCCUAUAGAGUUUUAUAAUAUUAGUUUAAUAUUUUAAAGUUGAUAUUAAUUUUUUAUUUAAAUAUUAUUUGGUUGGGGUGAUUAGGAAAUAUAAUUAACUUUUCUAUUUUUUACAUUGAUUUAUGGAUUUUUGAUCUAUUUAGUAUAAUUGAUAGAUUAAAUUACCUUAGGGAUAACAGCGUUAUUUUUUAUGAAGUUCUUAUUUAAAAAAAAGAUUGCGACCUCGAUGUUGGAUUAAAAUUUAUUAUUAGUGCAGAAGCU
rnacentral:rRNA from 1 species